AGUUGGUGGCGGUAAUGCACCAAGUUGGUAUGCCAACUGCCAUUAAAUUUAAAGAAGAAGAAGAACAUCAGCCUGCAAACCGUUCCGUAGCCUCAGACUCUGCACAAAAGGACCAGAUGGCUCUGUGACAUGGUUUCAGUUCUGUGCAAGGAACCCCUAUCACGCCGUGGAAGAUUGUUCUUGACACCGAGGAGAUUUAUCUUGCGUUGACAGACACGCCUAAGCACACCUAAGCAAGAGCAAAGAUGGCACAACCCCCUGGUUUGUUGCUAAGGGUCUAUAUUAAUGCAGACACAGCUCACAAGGUCAUCUUACCAACCAGACCAUCCACAUUAGAUGAACUGAUAUCAUUUAUGCAAGAGAGGUUUCACUUAGAAGGCCAUUUUACUCUUCAAUAUGAAGACCCUGACUUUGAUGGAGAACUCUGCGUCUUGACAGAGAUGUCAGAGUUGCCCUCAAAGGCCGUGGUCAGGAUAAUAAGACCAGACUCAAAUUCAAAUGACUCCCCUCCCACAGAAUUCACUACCCAGACCCAGGAACGCACUCAGAGACGGCCCAAUGAGUUCCCAGUUCCAACAUUUUCUUAUGAUGUGGAACACAUACUUGAGGCAGGUAACACUGCAUAUAAUGCCACACAAACACCCAUAAAACUCACAAAAGGGCAGAAACAUAAUGUUUUAGAAAAAAUGGCUGAGGUCAUUUUUAGUUUCAAUGCCUAUGCCGGUGAACACGAAUUGGCAAAAGCUGCAGAGGCAUUAGUGCGCAAACACCCUUGCCUAAAACAGCGUGGGAGUGAUUGUGGUUGGUUGGCUUGGCAGACCAGCUUAUUUUUUAAAAUGGGUAACUACCGUCACAAGUUGAGUAGAGCUGGGUGUCUAGAGGUAGCAGUUAACUCAGGCAAAAGAAGCCAGUCUAACCCUGAUGGAGCAGCAUCCCAUGCAAACAUAAAAAAAGCUUGCAGAGCUGAGCUAAAUUACUUGCCAAACUUCCCCAAAGGAGAAAAUGCCACUAGUUCUGAACAGUUCAGACUGCAGCUUCUUGAAGAAAUUUCAAGGGCCGAGACAGAUCCAGUUUUAAUUGAUAGGCUUAUGAACACUACCUUUGCACUGCGCAGAAAGCACAUUAUUGUGGACAACCCGUCACAACCUGUGAGUGAAGUCCUGGAAAAUUGGCCUUCUCUUCGAAUGGAGUCACAAAUUUGUGCAGAAUUCCAUCGAAUAACAAAUAUAAAUUUAAAGAGUACAUUUUAUUCUGCAUUUGAUAAGUACAUGCCACGGCUAAUGACGAUGUACCGUGAGAAAGCGGCCCGCACUGGCAAAACUUCUGAAUUGCUAAGAAACAUCUUCAAGACCUAUGAUCUCCUCGUCUGUAACAUUUCCUACCUCAUGACAAUUUGUACUAUAGUAUUAUUUAAUAUAUGCAUAUGAUUAAUAUUCUGCUUAUUCUGCAAUUUUGUCUUCCCAUUACCCACAAUCCCUCUGUCUUCUAGGAAGACGUCGAUGUUAACAGCAGACGCACAAUUGCACUGCAGGCACUUCCCAUCUUCCUGCGUGAAGAUGCUGCUGGAUUUUUUAAGACCUGGAAUGCAGAAGACAUUGACCUGCCAGACCUCUCGGAUACAACUCUAGGUGUUCUCACUGUCUCGAAUGAUACAGUCUCCCUUGUGAAGUUUGGUCCUGCAAUACAUUCUAUAGUUCUUGAGGGAGAUAUUGUGGUACGUGAUAUAGCACAGUUGACAGAGGCAUUCAUUUUGCUUUUUGGCUUGAUUUAUGCACUACAUCUACAGUAUCCAAAGAAAUUGACAUAUACAUUCAAUUUUAUUCAGAAAGUUGUAAUGAGUUUGGAUGACCUGAAGCGGUUACCUCCAAGACUGCUUAGCCUUAAAAAUGAUCUGAUGAUGGAUGAGUAAGCAGUGUGCUUAAAAUAUGUCGUUGUUACUACCAGCAUGGUGAUACUCAAGCAACCAUUUUGUUUUUGUUUUUUGUUUUUGCUUUUUUAUUUAUGUUGGCCUAUUAUUGUUGGCCUAUUAUUUUUGGAUCGGCCUAUUAUGUUGGCCUGUUUUUUGUUUUUGAGUAUUAAUACCUUUAUUGAAAAUGUGGUUGUUAUUUAUUUUAUUUUCUGUAUUAACCCCAUUGCUGGGGACAUUGUUCUGAAUUCUAAUGGAAUUCAUAAAUAAAUGGAAUCUGCAGUAAAAUUGUC